AGAAAAUGCUGGAAGAGAGUCGAUAGACUUACUAAGGGGAUCAUGAAUAAUAAGAACAGACCUCUGCGCAACAGAUUUGCUAGAGUCUUGUAGGUAGAAGACCAAGGAACUCACGAAGUCCGCAAGAUCGAAGCUGUCCAAGCCCGACCAAGUGCAAAACUUCCUCUAAGUAAAAAAGGCGCAAGUUUCAUUUAAGCCAGCAAUGUACCUUCAAGUCCUAACUCUGUGCAGUGCCGUAAACGAGGUUGAGUGCAAUUUCACACUCGUUGUAUAGAAGCACUGCUGGCCUUUCUUAGCCCUAAAAUUUUGAUGAAAUCAAAUAUUCAUAAAUACAUACUAUUCAUGUACAUUUCUCGUUCCGUUUUAGAAUGAUUCAAUCACGAAGGUAUCAUAUAGCUAUUAGCACACUGACAAUAUUUGGUGUGACGCUUCUAUUACGUUAAACACUAGGAAUAUUAUGGUAGUCAACGUAUUACAUAUAAUUAUAUUGGCUUUGCUGCUACCGCAAGCAAGUCCCCUCCCUCUGCAAAUCCAAUAACCAGUUUUGAAUAGAAACAAAAAUGUGUGUGACAAUAUAAAAUAGAUGUAUGGGAUAUGUAGUAGAUAGUGAGUUUUAAAACUCAAAGUGAAUUCUUGAGAUUUUGGUAGUGCUCAAUAAACGAAGGAUACUUUCCACGUGAUUCCGACACUUAUUUAACCGCCAAAAUUCAAAAAGGACACUGACGUAGAAGAUAUCAUAUCGGAAACUAUAUUACCAAAAGAAAAAAUCUGCCUCAAAUCAGAAAGCGAACACAUGUGUACGUGGUAAAAAAAAAAUGCUAUAUUUCCCCGGCUUCCCUAUUUAGAUAUUAAUUUUUAAUUUCUCGCGAUAAAAAGAAACCUCAUGCCUUAUGAACUUGUUAGAUAAAAUGCUUCAUUUACAAAGUUCUAUAAGAGCCCACUCUCUGCCUCCUGGAUUAACCUCAAAUUUGGAAAUAUUCUGUAUAUCUCGUGCUAUAUCAAUUAUUAUAACAUAAAUACAUGAAUAAAUUCGCGUCUUUGGCUACAUAAAGAAGUGAAUAGUUGUGAAACAUUUAUUUCUGCCAACUGAUAAAAAGCUAAGCCAGUCCGCUUCAAUAUCGAAGGUUGUUAGAAAAGAUAACUGAAGAAUACACAAAUGAAACAGGAGCAUAUUUUUUCAGCCUUCGAAAGUAUUUAUUUAUCUCGCGCUUAUUUUUAUUAAUAUUAUGGCCUGUCAUUAUUACACAUUCAAUAAAUAAAGCCGAAAUUUUGAAGCAGCACUGCGAAAUGCAUAAUUAUUAUUACAGUUAUUGUUAUAUGAUAAUAAUAAUGGUAAAGGUAAUCAUCGUCAUAUAUGAUCGUCUUCUCCGAUAUCUUCAUCAUCACUUAGCUAGUGGCGGUCAUUAUCCUUUCUUUUAAUUAUUACUACAAACAUCAAUUGGAAGAAUGUUCGGGUCGAUUGUCGUUCGUGUCAGCGCAUGAAAUCUAUAUCGCCGUCUAUUCAACUAUUGCGUAUGGCUGUUAUUGAUUGCAUGGGGAAAUUUCUGGGCGUCCUCUGCUUACCUCACAACCAUCUUUGCCGCUAGUGGGAAAUUCUGCGCAAGCCAUGUACGUGGUUUUGGUGUAUCGACACUACAGGCGUUUGCCCUUGCCCUGCCCCGUUCGACUACGUGUUUUCACCUGUCCUACACAUUUUUUUUGGGCAAGUGCCAAUUUUGACGAGACACCUCCGCUAAGCUUUCACUUUGGCCUACCUGCCUUUGUCCGUCCCUUUCCUGCUCCUUCUUGUCUCUUUUUGCUCCCGCUGUGGAUAACGCGUUUUUUUUGGACAUUUUCGGGUAACAAUCGAUAAAUAUCUCUGAAACAACCGGAUCUUGGCAAUACUAUACAUAUGCAUAGGUUGAAGUGUGAGUCACAUCUCUAUGCGCAGGUAUGCAUGCCUAGCCCGGCUUAUAAUAGUAGAACCUGACCUACCAGCAAC